rnacentral:lncRNA from 1 species
CUUGGUGGUGACUUCAUGUUAUAUAUAUUGAAAAUUAUUCAUUCACUAUAAACUUUCCGUGAUUAACUUGCAAUGGCUGACAUUGGUAUGGAGACUGGGGUGAAAAUAUGUAUUUUUCUAUUCGACAUUAAGGAAAAUAGGAAUAGGAAUUGAAAAGAAAGCAUAAUAAGAAAGGCUGGUAGAUAUUUGUGAUAUGUACAGAAAGUAAAAUGAAACAGGAAUAUUAUAUGAAGAAAUGAAAGAUUCCCAAGGACAGAACAAGGCUGAUGCUUCAAGAUCACAUGGAAAGAAAUUACAAGAUACUUGGCUUAAAACAAAUUUUAACAUUUUGGUAUUAAAAAAUUAAAAAAAAUAUGUACACUUAAAAGGUACUAAAAACAACUCAAGCAAGAGCAAGUUUGUAGCUCUUUGAUGUAGGACAAAUUCAGGAAAGAGCCGUUGGAGCCCUAUGAGUGAGUUUUCCCAAAGGAUUAUAAAAGGAUGCAGUGCUGAGCCAGUGCACAUUCCUUCUCACGGUCUCCUUUACCUUUUCCCUGCUUCCUUUCUGAUGUCUCUUGUUGUUUAUGGCUGAACAUUUAGGGCUUCUUCCUUUUAACGAAUUCUUUAGCCUUUGACUUGCCUGUCACCACUGAAUUUUAUGCCUUUGUUGUAAGGCAGUGAGCUUGCUCCACACACAGUCCAAAUUGAGCAAAAACCCCUUCAAAGCCCCCCCCCCUCACCCAAUGAUGGCAUUGUCCUUUUUAAUGUACGCUUAGAGAAUGAAACAAUCUGUUUCAAUCCUUGUGUUAGAACAGCUGGAAUGAUAUGAAUAGAGGGGGCUGAGCAGUUCUGCAAAAUCUUUGAUAAUAGAGAAGUACAAGUGUUCCCCAUCAGCAGUAGGAUGAUAAUUUCUCUGGUAUGAAUGAUGUAACCAAGUGGUUGUAUAUUACUGCCCCAUUCUUUCUUGUCCCAAGACACCCUUGGAAACGCGAUGCUACAUCUCAAUGGGAUUUUCCAGUACAAAGAUUCUUUUCAAAUAGCAUAAUUGUGGAUACACACCACUCCUACAGAGGGAAAUCGGAUCCAAGUUGUUGCUUUUCGAAUCAACAUGUUGGACACUGACUGCCACAUCUUCGAGGACCGGGCAUGCUAACAGCUAAAUUCCAACGUAUUGCAGAAGAUGUGGAUAGAUGUCAGGCCUGGUGGAAUGUAGGACUCCUAAAAUCGUGCUUUUCUAGAACUUAUAAAAGCUACUUGAAUAUAAGGACCUAUUCUGUGUUUCUUAUUGCACAUAAUGAGGGGUAAAGGCGAUCAUAAUUCUAAGACCUUUUGUUAUAAAUGAAUGCCUUAAAAACAAAUCAAAAGGAAAGAAAGCCUUUAAUUAAGUGAAUACAAGUGCCUGUCAGCCAAAUGAUGCACAUAAAUGGAGAAGUAGGCAAAUCUUAGACUCCAUUCUUUCCAUAAAAGUUUAUAAUUUACUAGGGAGAAAUGAAUAUCAUG